AGCAGCCGCGGUAAUUCCAGCUCCAAUAGCGUAUAUUAAAGUUGUUGCAGUUAAAAAGCUCGUAGUUGAAUUUCGGGGUUAGUAGGCUGGUCGUGCCACAGGUAUGCACUGGUCUCACUGAUUCCUCCUUCCUGAUGAACCGUAAUGCCAUUAAUUUGGUGUUGCGGGGAGACUGGACUGUUACUUUGAAAAAAUUAGAGUGUUUAAAGCAGGCUAACGCUUGAAUACAUUAGCAUGGAAUAAUGAAAUAGAACGUUCGGUCUUAUUUUGUUGGUUUCUAAGAUUGACGUAAUGAUUAAUAGGGAUAGUUGGGGGCAUUAGUAUUCAAUUGUCAGAGGUGAAAUUCUUGGAUUUAUUGAAGACUAACUACUGCGAAAGCAUUUGCCAAGGAUGUUUUCAUUAAUCAAGAACGAAAGUUAGGGGAUCGAAGACGAUCAGAUACCGUCGUAGUCUUAACCAUAAACUAUGCCGACUAGGGAUCGGAUGAUGUUAAUUUUUUAAUGACUCA
rnacentral:rRNA from 1 species